GCCCCGAAAUCGGCCCUCCCCGACUGCCGGGGGCCGGCCCGGGCCCAGUUUUAGCCCUAGUUACAUCAGUCACAGUACGGUUGAUUCGUAUGUUCCUCGGUGACGGUCGCCGGGCCAUCCCCGAAUGGCAGAGGCCCCCAACCCCUCCCCCGACGAUGGCACCCUCCACAUCCUUCGCCUCUGCUCCUUCGGACGCCUCUCUGAGGCCCUUUCGGCCCUCCAAUCCCUGGCCCUUCAUCCCUCCUCCGCCUACGCCGCCGUCCUCCACGCCUGCGCCCGCCACCGCCUCCUUGCCGCCGGCCGCUCAGUCCACCGCCUUCUCCUCUCCCGCUACCCUUCCCCAGGCCUCUUCCUCUCCAACCACCUUCUCAACUUCUACGCCAAGUGCGGCCGCUUCAACAUCGCCCGCCGCUUGUUCGACGGAAUGCCCCGCCGCAACCUCGUCUCUUGGACCGCCCUCCUCUCCGGCUACGCGCAGCACGGCCUUCACGACCGCUGCUUCCGGCUUCUCGCUUCCAUGCUCUCCCACCACCUCCCCAGCGAGUUCGCACUCGCCGCUGCCCUCAGCUCCUGCGCCGGGGCCCGCCACUACGGCUGCGGCCGCCAGGUACACGCCCUCGCCUCUAAGAUCUCCCUUGACGCCAAUGUCUUCGUCGGGAACGCCCUCAUCACCAUGUAUUCGAGCUGCGCCGGGAAUGGGGACGAUGGCUGGUCCAUCUUCCGGUCCAUGCCUUUCCGAAAUCUCAUCACUUGGAAUUCCAUGAUUGCAGGGUUCAACCUAAAUGGUCAGCCAUGUCGGUCGCUAGUUCUCUUUGCCCACAUGCAUCGGAUUGGUAUCGGGUUCGACCGGGCAACACUAGUCAGCGUCAUCUCCUCAUGUUCCAGCCUUCGACAUUGCCACCAAUUGCACUGUCUCACAGUAAAAAGUUGUUAUGUUUCUGAGGCCGAAGUCGCUACUGCUCUUGUGAAGGCCUACUCAGGGCUUGGUGGGAGUGUGGACGACUGCUAUAGAGUGUUCUUGGGGGUUAAGGAACAUGACAUUGUCUCUUGGACGAGCAUCAUAACUUCACGUGCUGAGCAAGAGCCUGAAGAGGCAAUCUGUCUCUUUUGCCAGCUUCGUCGACAUGGUUUCAAACCUGAUAGUUAUACAUUUUCUAUUGUUGUCAAGGCUUGUGCAGGAUUCGCAACGGAGAUGCAUUGCUCAGCUAUUCAUUCGCUUAUUGUGAGGUCUGGGUUUGGAGAUGACAUGGUGCUCUCCAAUGUUAUGAUCCAUGCAUAUGCUCGGUGUGGUAGCAUUAAGCUUGCAGAGAGUGUAUUCGAACAAAUGGUGGUUCAUGAUGAGGUAUCAUGGAACUCAAUGGUCAAAGCUUAUGCUGCUCAUGGCCGAGGCAGGGAAGCAUUGCAAGCUUUUGAGCAUAUGGAUGUUCCACCUGAUUCUGCCACAUUUGUUGGACUUCUCACGGCAUGCAGCCAUAGUGGGCUAGUAAAUGAAGGUCAGGAUAUUUUUAAAUCUAUGUCUGAAGUCUAUGGAAUUACCCCUCAGCUUGAUCACUAUGCUUGCAUGGUUGACAUUCUCGGACGUGCUGGAAAACUGUUGGAGGCUGAGGAUCUGAUCAACAGGAUGCCUAUGGUGUCUGAUUCUGUCAUAUGGAGUGCGUUGCUUGGGGCAUGCAGGAAGCAUGGGGAGGCCAGGAUUGGGGAAAAGGCAGCUCAAAAGUUGAUGGAAUUGGAGCCUCAGAACUCGGUUGGUUACGUAAUGAUGUCCAACAUCUAUUGUGAGGUGGGAAGCUUAGGUGAUGCAGCCUUUGUGAGGAAGGAGAUGAAGGAGUGUGGGAUCAAGAAAGAACCAGGGCUGAGCUGGGUUGGGAUAGGGAAACAUGUUCAUGAGUUCUCUGUGGGUGGCCGACGUCACCCACAACGAGAAGCAAUAUAUGUUGAGCUCAAAAGGCUUGCGGAUAAACUGAAGGAAAUGGGUUAUGUGGCAGAUACAAGACUGGUAUUACAUGAGACUGAGGAGGUGCAUAAGGAAGAGCGACUUUUGCAUCAUAGUGAGAAGUUGGCUUUGACUUUUGCACUUAUGAAUGCUUCUGCCACUCAGGAUAGUAUAAGAAUUAUGAAGAACAUCAGGAUCUGUGAGGAUUGCCACAAUUUCAUAAAGCUGGCAUCUAAAGGUGUCGGGAAAGAGAUUAUAGUGAGGGAUGCAAACCGAUUCCAUCAUUUUGUUGAUGGUUUCUGCUCAUGUGGUGACUAUUGGUGAUCAAGAUUGUUUCCCCUAUAAGAAGUUACCUUGCAGGCAAAUUUUGAGAGCUCAACUUUCUGUCUUUAGAGCUAAUCGGAUGAAACCUUAUGGGUUUCCUAUUUUAAGGUUUGGACAGAGUGAUUCAAAAUCUGUCUCGCAUGACAUUGUUUAAUGCGAGUGCUGCUACAUGCUAUUCAUUUUCUGAUGCAUUGUGGUGAUUGCUCUAUUAUUCAACAAUUCCUGAUACUGGAAGGGGAGAUAGGAAUAACCGGUGCUAAAACUCCGGAAAUUACAAAUGUCAAGAUAGGAAUAACCCUUGAUAUUAUCAGAAAUGCCUGGGGAAGAGAGAGAAAGGGGAGCUUUGCUGAGCUUGAACCAGGUUGGGUGGUCGGUGGGGGUCUCCCCGGAGAUCCUGUUUGCAAUUCCGAGUUGCCGCUCCAAUUCAGCAGCCUCCUCAGCUCUUUGGAUAAUACGAUCAUAGCAGAUAUACCGCCCACAAGCAGUGUUACUCAUUGCCUCGUAGACACAUACAUGAGCCUCAGCUACUUUCUGCACAUCGACUGUUGCAAGCAAUCCCUCUGCAAACAUCUCAUGAGCUCCUGCAUGGUGUAAAGAGAGAAGCUUUCAGAAUGAUGGUGCAGAACUCUGCCGGUGAAUAGUGAUAUCUGACUGUAGAACUUCAUAGAGCUCAAUUCAAAUUACGAAGCAAAGGCAUGAAUAUGCUGAAAGGAAAGAGUCCUCACCCUUGAGGUAUGCGAUGGAUCCUGUGGAGUUCCGGCGGCAAAAUCGUGGUCCGGUGACAAGAGCUGGGCAAACAGCGACAAGCUUCAAGUCCCUUCCACGAGCCGCUCGCCAAGCUGCUUUCUCUGCCAUUGUCUUGCCCAGUGCAAACCAUAGCUGCAACCAUUUGAGAGAGUCCUUUUCAGAGUUGAAGAAGGCAGAGUGCAUUGUAAGCUUUUUGGUAAUAUAAUUCAUUGAAAAUAUGUAUUUCAGGGGGAAGGGUGUCACUUCCCCUAUUUGCACUCAAAAAAAAGAGAGGAAAGAAUAAAUGUAUUUCAGUGUUUCUUCU